UGGGGAUUCUUUAUAUACACAUUGUACACAUGGAAAUGUUUUUCGUUUUGUUUUGAUCAUUUCUUGACUUGGGCAGCAGGCUGGUUAUGCUCAGGGCACAGGGUGACAUACGACAGUAUUGUGCUGGAAGGUACGGUGAGCAGAGGUUUGGAUCCGGGUGGACGGUGGGGACAGUGAACCCUUCUGCACCCUUCACCCCCAGCUAAUUCUCCCCCUGCACUUAGAACCCAGCGUUCGUAGAGAGAAGUAUAUCAAGAAUGGGCCGAAGGUACAAGCUGCCAGUCACGAGACGAAGUUCUCCCGGGGAACCGAGAGCAGCAUGGUCCCUGCAGGGAACAACACUGUCUCGUGUGUUUGAAAGUUGCCCAGGACGUAGGUCCUGAAAGUCCUCGUGCCAAGGAGGCGUUUCCGCAAGCGUGUUGGCUGACGGAUGUUAGCUGCGGUCGUCGAGGUGGUCAUUUCACAACACGUGCAGAUAUCAGACCGUCCUGCCGGGGGCCUGACAUUACGAUGCUGGUGUCUUCAUUUAAUAAAGAGGAACGUGGUCGGGGGCCUCGAGGUGGGAGAGUGGCACGGCUGAUUUGCUGUGCAACAGAGAUGCUCGGGCAGAGACAUGAGACACGAGAGGGGGCAGGGAGGCAGUGAGGGGCCCUCGUAACGGUCCAGGCAGGAGCGAUGCUGGUGUGGACCCGGCUGGCUCCAAGGACGGGGUACCAGCUGAUAGAGAGUCUGCAGGCUGCUGUGGGGUCUGUCCUCGCCGCUGUUUACGGGUCUGGGUGACAGAGGUCGUGGGGCUUUCUCGGCGGAGUCUCCUUGCAUCCGGGUGAGGGGAGGGGGAGGAAUGGCCCCACCUGCGAGGUCCUUCCACCUCCGGGCCGAGGGGUGGCCCUGCGUCACCCUCACUAACCAUUUGGCUUGGAGGAAGUUAAUCCCAGAUGUAUCUGUCCUUCGAUUCCCGGCUUAGCAGGGCGGCUGGGCGUGGCUGGGAAGGGGUGCCAGCUCAGGAGAAGCGGAGGGCGAGCCUGUGGAGCAAAACCUCGCCGUCGCCGUGCGUUGAUGACUGGGGAAUCGUGUUGGUAACAGGCCACCUUGGGGACACCUAAAGGAGACAGCACCCCAAGACCGUCUUUCUUCAAAGCAAAGUUGCAGAGGCCGAAUUUUAGCCAAUGAGGCAGAAGCAGAACUCUUUGGUAAAUGUUUUGUAAAAGCAUUUGAUUUGCCGAUGAUCGCUUCCUGUUCUGUCUUCCUCCUUCUUUUUGUCUCGGACACAGCUGUGAUGGCUAGGGCUGCAGCAGCCACAUUGUGAACAUGAGUCCAGGGCCUCAACAUAAAAACUCUUGGCCCAGACAUCAUUGGGCCCUUGAGCCAAUGCCAGAGUCAUCUGCUCCCAGACACCUUGCUAGAUGCCUCUGAUGAAAAUAGAUGUCUAGAUGAAAAUACAACCUAUUUAUUAUUGAGACUACAGCGGUCAGGUUGUAUUACCUGUAACCAAACGUAUUUCUCACUGAUACACACGUUACAUCAUUUCAUCUUUAAAUAGCUCCCCUUGUUCCAGAGGAGAAAAUGUUUGCUGCUCACAGUGGUUCAGCAGUAAGCGCAUAUAACCCUCACAGGGGAGGGAUCUUUGCCUUUACCGAGCACAUUCGCGUGACCACGUUGAUGACUAGAAGCCUCGCGUGCUCCCCCAGCUACACAGAAUGUUUCGUAAAAACUGUCCCAUUUGCUUUCUCGAAAUAAUGGGAUCCCCGAAUAAAUGAAAUGUAAUUAAUACACGCAUAGAUCUUAGAGCCGUGCUGUGUUCAGCACAUGGUUACCGCUGAGGGUUAACUAUUAUUUGUGUAUUAUUAUAAAAUCGGUCCCUUCUCUUUCAAGUACGGAAACGAAAAUCCGUUGCUCUGUCUCUCUCCUGUCGAUGCUGCGUCUCACCAAGCUGCCUCCUCCCAUUACAAAAUCGAGCUGUAAAACACGCGUGUUAGCAGGUGCAAUGGCUUCUGUGUGUGAGCCUACAGAGCAAAGUUGUCUGCACCUACCCCAGCCGAAGCAAGCUUUCAAAGAGACUAUUAUUCCAGCGUUAUUCUUUAUAGUAUUAUAUAAAAACCAUUUUACGGCAGCUAUUAAAACAAUCUGUGUAAACAUAAUUUUUAUGGCUGAAUGAUACUCCAACAUAUGGCUACACCAUCAUUUACUUAACUAUUACUCUAUUGUUGGGUGUUUAGAAUGUUUCUUGUUUUUCAUUAUUAUGAGCGGGGUGAUGAUAUUCCUCUUGGAACAUAAAAAAGCAAGUCCUCCUUGAGGGGAACCUUGA